rnacentral:tRNA from 1 species
CAGCAAAUAGUUUAUUUAAAAUAUUAAUUUUGGAGAUUAGGGAAGAGUUUUACUUUUUGCUGA